rnacentral:tRNA from 1 species
UCCCUGGUGGUCCAGUGGCUAAGACUCCACACUCCCAAUGCAGGAGGCCUGGGUUCAAUUCCUGGUCAGGGAA